CAGUUCCCAGUUAAUCUACUUCUUUCUCAGUCUCCAGAACUUCUAAACUUUCUGCACAGAUAUGUCUUGGGAUCUACAGAAAGUCCUCCAGGAGAUCUGGAAACAAGAAGGAAGAAAACGGUGGUGUCGAGGAUCUUCAUAGGAAAAAAAGAAGGAGGCUUCUCUGACAAGUGGGGAUAUAAAUUAUCUGAACGUGCUGAUCUAAGAAAGUCGAGCUUUAAGAACUUGUAGAAAUCCUCAGCUGAAGUUAAUCACUUUGUCCUUUUCUGCACAAGAGCUGAAAAAUCUGCCAAUUCCAUUCAGUGAGGA